rnacentral:misc_RNA from 1 species
CCCCACUUAACACAUUCACAGAAAGUAAAACUUGACUGCUGCCCCACACUGAAGAUAAAAUCAUAGUGGAUCCAUCAGAAAGCCAUGGAUUCCUAAGGAAUUCUGAACAAUAAAGUCCAGGGAAACAACCAUCCUCUGAGCACUGCACAACAGGAAUCGUAUCAAAAAUUUUUGCAGGUGCACUCAACUGUCCAUUAACUGGCCAAUCAAUUUUGUGAAGUGAAUUUGUUGCUGAAUGCGCACCAGAAUCUACAGAACUUUUGGCA